rnacentral:rRNA from 1 species
GAUGAACGCUAGCGGCAGGCCUAACACAUGCAAGUCGAGGGGCAUCGCGGUGCAGCAAUGCACUGGCGGCGACCGGCGUACGGGUGCGUAACGCGUAUGCAACCUGCCCCGCACCGGGGGAUAGCCCGCCGAAAGGCGGAUUAAUACCCCAUGGUCCCGGGGGCCCGCAUGGGCAUCCGGGUAAAGCCUUGGCGGUGCGGGAUGGGCAUGCGUGCCAUUAGCUGGCUGGUGGGGUAACGGCCCACCAGGGCAACGAUGGCUAGGGGGUCUGAGAGGAUGGUCCCCCACACUGGUACUGAGACACGGACCAGACUCCUACGGGAGGCAGCAGUGAGGAAUAUUGGUCAAUGGGCGGAAGCCUGAACCAGCCAUGCCGCGUGCGGGAUGAAGGCCCUACGGGUUGUAAACCGCUUUUCCCCGGGAAGAAUAACCCCGAUGAGUCGGGUGAUGCCGGUACCGGGGGAAUAAGGAUCGGCUAACUCCGUG